CAGCUCCACUCUCUCUCCCCGUCUCUGUGGUUUGUAAGGUAGGUUGCAGUGUGUGUAUAUACACAACAUCAAGAUCAGGGAAAAUGGAAUCAUUAGACAGGCAGCCAGUCAUUACCACUUACACUCUAGUUCCAGGGAGACUUCGAUUAUGAGAAGAGAAAACUCUCAGCUCUGGGGGACAAGGAUUAAAGAUUUCAUAGCUGAUUUCAUUGAGUCUGCGUGAAGAGCCAGUGCUAGGAAUUGGCCCCGCUCCUCUCUCGGAUCUGAAGGCAAGGUAAGGAACCUUCUCUCCUUCUCUUAUUGGCUCGGUGAUUGGAGGAACUCACCAGGUUCCAUUUGUCUUUUGAAAUUCAAAAAGAAAAACAGAAUUGAUCAGGCGAUGUGUAAUAACUCCCAGAAAUAUAUGGUAUCAAAUAAAGGGGGGGUCUGAUUUGGUUUUGUCUUUUUGGGGAGCAGCAUUAAAGGGA